rnacentral:piRNA from 1 species
UGCUGUCUAGGAGUAUGUCCUGUCUC